rnacentral:snRNA from 1 species
UCACUCUUGUGUCUCUUCAGAUCGUACAAAUCUUUCGCCUUUUACUAAAGAUUUCCGUGGAGAGGAACAUCAAGAGUAUAUCCUAAUUUUUUGUCGCCCUGCGAUUGUGGGGCU